GACGAACGCUGGCGGCGUGCUUAACACAUGCAAGUCGAACGGAAAGGCCCUGCUUGCAGGGUACUCGAGUGGCGAACGGGUGAGUAACACGUGGGUGCUCUGCCCUGCACUUCGGGAAAGGCAGGGGAAACUGGGUCAAAUCCGGUAUAGAUCCCUUCUUUAGGGUGAUGGUUGGAAAGUUUUUUCGGUGUGGGAUGAGCUCGCGGCCUAUCAGCUUGUUGGUGGGGUAAUGGCUUACCAAGGCGUCGACGGGUAGCCGGCCUGAGAGGGUGGACGGCCACAUUGGGACUGAGAUACGGCCCAGACUCCUACGGGAGGCAGCAGUGGGGAAUAUUGCACAAUGGGCGCAAGCCUGAUGCAGCGACGCCGCGUGGGGGAUGACGGCCUUCGGGUUGUAAACUCCUUUCGCUAGGGACGAAGCUUGUUGUGACGGUACCUAGAGAAGAAGCACCGGCUAACUACGUG
rnacentral:rRNA from 1 species